AAUUUUGCGCAAUGGGCGAAAGCCUGACGCAGCAACGCCGCGUGAACGAUGAAGCCCUUCGGGGUGUAAAGUUCUGUCAGUGGGGACGAAACUUGACGGUACCCACAGAGGAAGCACCGGCUAACUCCGUGCCAGCAGCCGCGGUAAUACGGAGGGUGCAAGCGUUGUCCGGAAUCAUUGGGCGUAAAGCGUUCGUAGGCGGCAUACCAAGUCUGGUGUUAAAUCCCGGGGCUCAACUCCGGUUCUGCACUGGAUACUGGUAAGCUAGAAUGUGGUAGAGGUGAAGGGAAUUCCUGGUGUAGCGGUGAAAUGCGUAGAUAUCAGGAGGAACACCGGUGGCGUAAGCGCUUCACUGGACCAUAAUUGACGCUGAGGAACGAAAGCCGGGGGAGCAAAUGGG
rnacentral:rRNA from 1 species